rnacentral:rRNA from 1 species
AUUGAACGCUGGCGGCAGGCCUAACACAUGCAAGUCGAGCGAGCGGCGGACGGGUGAGUAAUGUCUGGGAAACUGCCUGAUGGAGGGGGAUAACUACUGGAAACGGUAGCUAAUACCGCAUACCAUCAGAUGUGCCCAGAUGGGAUUAGCUAGUAGGUUGGGUAACGGCUAACCUAGGCGACGAUCCCUAGCUGGUCUGAGAGGAUGACCAGCCAACCGGGAACUGAGACACGGUCCAGACGUCUAAGGGAGGAAGCAGUGGGGAAUAUUGCACAAGGGGCGCAAGCCGGAUGCAGCCAUGCCGCGUGGGUGAAGAAGGCCUUAGGGUUGUAAAGCACGUUCAGCGGGGAGGCGUUACCCGCAGAAGAAGCACCGGCUAACUCCGUGCCAGCAGCCGCGGUAAUUC